CACGUAGGAGGCGAGCGUUGUCCGGAAUCAUUGGGCGUAAAGAGCGCGCAGGCGGCUUGGCAAGUCGGGUGUGAAAUCCCGGGGCUCAACCCCGGGACUGCAUUCGAUACUGUCAGGCUAGAGGUAGGUAGGGGAGAUCGGAAUUCCUGGUGUAGCGGUGAAAUGCGCAGAGUAUCAGGAGGAACACCGGUGGCGAAGGCGGAUCUCUGGGCCUUACCUGACGCUCAGGCGCGAAAGCUAGGGGAGCGAACCGG
rnacentral:rRNA from 1 species